AUGCAUGCUGGCGGCGUGCUUAACCCAUGCAAGUCGAACGGAAAGGCUCCUGCUUGCAGGGGUACUCGAGUGGCGAACGGGUGAGUAACACGUGGGUGAUCUGCCCUGCACUUCGGGAUAAGCCUGGGAAACUGGGUCUAAUACCGGAUAGGACCACAUUUUGGAUGGUGUGGUGGAAAGUUUUUCGGUGUGGGAUGAGCUCGCGGCCUAUCAGCUUGUUGGUGGGGUAAUGGCCUACCAAGGCGUCGACGGGUAGCCGGCCUGAGAGGGUGUACGGCCACAUUGGGACUGAGAUACGGCCCAGACUCCUACGGGAGGCAGCAGUGGGGAAUAUUGCACAAUGGGCGCAAGCCUGAUGCAGCGACGCCGCGUGGGGGAUGACGGCCUUCGGGUUGUAAACUCCUUUCGCUAGGGACGAAGCGUUUUAGUGACGGUACCUGGAGAAGAAGCACCGGCUAACUACGUG
rnacentral:rRNA from 1 species